GAUGAAGAACGUAGCGAAAUGCGAUAAGUAGUGUGAAUUGCAGAAUUCAGUGAAUCAUCGAGUUUUUGAACGCAUAUUGCGCCCUGUGGUAUUCCGGGGGGCAUGCCUGUUCGAGCGUCAUUAAAUAACCCUCAAGCAUAGCUUGGUGUUGGGCUUUUUUACGUCCUUGACUGGGAUGGGCCUAAAAAUUAGUGGCGAUGGCUUUUUUACUUUCAAGCGUAGUAAAUCUCGUCUUGCUAAAGAGGAAAAAGAUUUUUUUUCUGCCAAAAAUUUUAACAUUUAAAGUUGACCUCGGAUCAGGUAGGAUUACCCGCUGAACUUAAGCAUAUCAAUAAGCGGAGGA
rnacentral:misc_RNA from 1 species